rnacentral:pre_miRNA from 1 species
UUAUCUCAUAUUUGUAUGGAAUAGGAUCGUUUGCCUACGUUUGCCGUUAGGGGCGCUGUUCCAACUGCAUACAAAAUUGGGUUG